GAUGAACGCUGGCGGCGUGCCUAAUACAUGCAAGUCGAGCGAACAGACGAGGAGCUUGCUCCUCUGACGUUAGCGGCGGACGGGUGAGUAACACGUGGAUAACCUACCUAUAAGACUGGGAUAACUUCGGGAAACCGGAGCUAUUACCGGAUAAUAUAUUGAACCGCAUGGUUCAAUAGUAAAAGACGGUUUUGCUGUCACUUAUAGAUGGAUCCGCGCCGCAUUAGCUAGUUGGUAAGGUAACGGCUUACCAAGGCAACGAUGCGUAGCCGACCUGAGAGGGUGAUCGGCCACACUGGAACUGAGACACGGUCCAGACUCCUACGGGAGGCAGCAGUAGGGAAUCUUCCGCAAUGGGCGAAAGCCUGACGGAGCAACGCCGCGUGAGUGAUGAAGGUCUUCGGAUCGUAAAACUCUGUUAUUAGGGAAGAACAAAUGUGUAAGUAACUAUGCACGUCUUGACGGUACCUAAUCAGAAAGCCACGGCUAACUACGUG
rnacentral:rRNA from 1 species